rnacentral:rRNA from 1 species
CACGUAGGGGGCAAGCGUUGUCCGGAUUUAUUGGGCGUAAAGAGCUCGUAGGUGGCUCAGUAAGUCGGGUGUGAAACCUCCAGGCUCAACCUGGAGACGCCACCCGAUACUGCUGUGGCUAGAGUCCAGUAGGGGAGCAUGGAAUUCCUGGUGUAGCGGUGAAAUGCGCAGAUAUCAGGAGGAACACCAGUGGCGAAGGCGGUGCUCUGGGCUGGAACUGACACUGAGGA